rnacentral:rRNA from 1 species
UCGAUUCCCUUAGUAGCGGCGAGCGAAACGGGAAGAGCCCAAACCAACAAGCUUGCUUGUUGGGGUUGUAGGACACUCUAUACGGAGUUACAAAGGACGACAUUAGACGAAUCAUCUGGAAAGAUGAAUCAAAGAAGGUAAUAAUCCUGUAGUCGAAAAUGUUGUCUCUCUUGAGUGGAUCCUGAGUACGACGGAGCACGUGAAAUUCCGUCGGAAUCUGGGAGGACCAUCUCCUAAGGCUAAAUACUCUCUAGUGACCGAUAGUGAACCAGUACCGUGAGGGAAAGGUGAAAAGCACCCCGGAAGGGGAGUGAAAUAGAACCUGAAACCGUGUGCUUACAAGUAGUCAGAGCCCGUUAAUGGGUGAUGGCGUGCCUUUUGUAGAAUGAACCGGCGAGUUACGAUUUGAUGCAAGGUUAAGCAGUAAAUGUGGAGCCGUAGCGAAAGCGAGUCUGAAUAGGGCGUUUAGUAUUUGGUCGUAGACCCGAAACCAGGUGAUCUACCCUUGGUCAGGUUGAAGUUCAGGUAACACUGAAUGGAGGACCGAACCGACUUACGUUGAAAAGUGAGCGGAUGAACUGAGGGUAGCGGAGAAAUUCCAAUCGAACCUGGAGAUAGCUGGUUCUCUCCGAAAUAGCUUUAGGGCUAGCCUCAAGUGAUGAUUAUUGGAGGUAGAGCACUGUUUGGACGAGGGGCCCCUCUCGGGUUACCGAAUUCAGACAAACUCCGAAUGCCAAUUAAUUUAACUUGGGAGUCAGAACAUGGGUGAUAAGGUCCGUGUUCGAAAGGGAAACAGCCCAGACCACCAGCUAAGGUCCCAAAAUAUAUGUUAAGUGGAAAAGGAUGUGGCGUUGCCCAGACAACUAGGAUGUUGGCUUAGAAGCAGCCAUCAUUUAAAGAGUGCGUAAUAGCUCACUAGUCGAGUGACACUGCGCCGAAAAUGUACCGGGGCUAAACAUAUUACCGAAGCUGUGGAUUGUCCUUUGGACAAUGGUAGGAGAGCGUUCUAAGGGCGUUGAAGCAUGAUCGUAAGGACAUGUGGAGCGCUUAGAAGUGAGAAUGCCGGUGUGAGUAGCGAAAGACGGGUGAGAAUCCCGUCCACCGAUUGACUAAGGUUUCCAGAGGAAGGCUCGUCCGCUCUGGGUUAGUCGGGUCCUAAGCUGAGGCCGACAGGCGUAGGCGAUGGAUAACAGGUUGAUAUUCCUGUACCACCUAUAAUCGUUUUAAUCGAUGGGGGGACGCAGUAGGAUAGGCGAAGCGUGCGAUUGGAUUGCACGUCUAAGCAGUAAGGCUGAGUAUUAGGCAAAUCCGGUACUCGUUAAGGCUGAGCUGUGAUGGGGAGAAGACAUUGUGUCUUCGAGUCGUUGAUUUCACACUGCCGAGAAAAGCCUCUAGAUAGAAAAUAGGUGCCCGUACCGCAAACCGACACAGGUAGUCAAGAUGAGAAUUCUAAGGUGAGCGAGCGAACUCUCGUUAAGGAACUCGGCAAAAUGACCCCGUAACUUCGGGAGAAGGGGUGCUCUUUAGGGUUAACGCCCAGAAGAGCCGCAGUGAAUAGGCCCAAGCGACUGUUUAUCAAAAACACAGGUCUCUGCUAAACCGUAAGGUGAUGUAUAGGGGCUGACGCCUGCCCGGUGCUGGAAGGUUAAGAGGAGUGGUUAGCUUCUGCGAAGCUACGAAUCGAAGCCCCAGUAAACGGCGGCCGUAACUAUAACGGUCCUAAGGUAGCGAAAUUCCUUGUCGGGUAAGUUCCGACCCGCACGAAAGGCGUAACGAUUUGGGCACUGUCUCAACGAGAGACUCGGUGAAAUCAUAGUACCUGUGAAGAUGCAGGUUACCCGCGACAGGACGGAAAGACCCCGUGGAGCUUUACUGUAGCCUGAUAUUGAAAUUCGGCACAGCUUGUACAGGAUAGGUAGGAGCCUUUGAAACGUGAGCGCUAGCUUACGUGGAGGCGCUGGUGGGAUACUACCCUAGCUGUGUUGGCUUUCUAACCCGCACCACUUAUCGUGGUGGGAGACAGUGUCAGGCGGGCAGUUUGACUGGGGCGGUCGCCUCCUAAAAGGUAACGGAGGCGCUCAAAGGUUCCCUCAGAAUGGUUGGAAAUCAUUCAUAGAGUGUAAAGGCAUAAGGGAGCUUGACUGCGAGACCUACAAGUCGAGCAGGGUCGAAAGACGGACUUAGUGAUCCGGUGGUUCCGCAUGGAAGGGCCAUCGCUCAACGGAUAAAAGCUACCCCGGGGAUAACAGGCUUAUCUCCCCCAAGAGUUCACAUCGACGGGGAGGUUUGGCACCUCGAUGUCGGCUCAUCGCAUCCUGGGGCUGUAGUCGGUCCCAAGGGUUGGGCUGUUCGCCCAUUAAAGCGGUACGCGAGCUGGGUUCAGAACGUCGUGAGACAGUUCGGUCCCUAUCCGUCGUGGGCGUAGGAAAUUUGAGAGGAGCUGUCCUUAGUACGAGAGGACCGGGAUGGACAUACCUCUGGUGUACCAGUUGUCGUGCCAACGGCAUAGCUGGGUAGCUAUGUGUGGACGGGAUAAGUGCUGAAAGCAUCUAAGCAUGAAGCCCCCCUCAAGAUGAGAUUUCCCAACUUCGGUUAUAAGAUCCCUCAAAGAUGAUGAGGUUAAUAGGUUCGAGGUGGAAGCAUGGUGACAUGUGGAGCUGACGAAUACUAA